UGGGAAGUGCAUUGGAAACCUUCUCCCGCCAGUCCUGUGGAGCCAAACAGUGCCACUUACUUGGCAUACACUUACAGAGAGGAAUUUUUAUUCUUCUAAUUAUGAGCAUUCCAAUUGGAAUUGUAUUUGCUAAUACAGCUGAAAUUCUCAAGUUCUUGAAACAAAUCCCUGAAAUAGCAAAUGCAGCAGGAAAAUAUGCUUAUUUCCUGAUACCUGCAUUUUUUGGUACUUCACUCUUUGAAUGUCCUAUCAGAUUCUUACAAACACAAAAUAAAGUAGUUCCAAUGAUGAUUACUUGAGGAAUUACUACAAUGCUUCAUAUCCCCAUUACAUGGAUUCUUGUUUUUAAAACUGACCUAACAUAUAUGGGAGCAGCAUUAGCACAUAGCUCACACCAUCUCUGCUUGGAUCGUAUUGCAGCUAAUAGCUAACAUCUGGUUCUCUCCAUCAUUUAUGGAAACUUGGACAGGUUUUUCAAAGGAAGCAUUUCAUGGAAUUCCUAGGUUUCUAAAACUGGCAAUUCCUACAACUAUAAUGCUUAGGUAACUCCAAGAUUAGUUUCUUCUAAUUACAUUCAGCAUUUGAUAUGUUUUCUAAGGAUUUAAUUUAUUUCUUGGCUUGAAACAGCUUGGAAGUAUGAUCACUUGAGAUAGUGUUUUUUUAUUAGGAUUCCUUCCAGACCCUAAGCUUGAAGCAUCAGUCCUGUCUAUCAGUUUUGGCUUUGUUAUUGCUUUUAACCCACUUCAUAGACUGCCCUCACAAAUUCAGCGGUGACCCACUUCAUCCCAAUUUCACACAACCAAAGCAUAGAUAUAGCAAGUCACAAUUAAUCAAGCAAUACCUAAUAGCAAUAAGUAAUGCAGCACAAAUAGCAGUUCUUUAAAUAAUGGAUCUAUACCUAUAUAGUAUUUAUCUAUCAUGUGUGAAUGCAUUACAUUUAUCCGUGUAUGCAUGUAUGCAUAUGCAAUGGGGAAUAAGUUAUCCAACACUGCUCAUAGCUUUAUGAUAUAGCUGGAAGCUUUAUGCUCCAUAUUCAAGUAUUCUGCUAUCCAACAUUCGAUUUCUCGGGACACGCCAUCAUAUCUAAGGAAAGAAUCAGAAACAAUCUUUAUCAUUAAUGAAGCUCACUUGCUAUUAGCAUAAGUCCCUAUUUAUUUAAUUUCUCAAAAACUGUCCAACGAAUCUUUUAUGCUAGCUUAUUAAUUUAUCUGUUUUAUAACUCUCUAAUUCUAUCACUUUACUUACUAACUAGAUUCUCUAAUAAUAAUAGCAAUAUUGGUGGUAUUGGUUAUUAGCUUUUAUUAUCAGUGUAGUUAGUUUAGUUCUUGAUAAAUGUUCUACCAAAAAUCCAGCAGUAUUUCCCUAAAAAUAGAAUUAUCUGCCUGCUUAAACAAUAACAAUAUUAUUAAUUAUUCAAUAUUUCUAUUUAUCCAAUUCACACAUCUCAUCGUUCAGGCAAAUCAAUCAUAUAAUUCUGGUCCGCCAAUUCAUUAACGUUAUAAUUCUUGCAUAAUACCAAAUUCAAUUUAGUUUCACCACAACUCAACUACAGAGUUGUAAUUUAAUCCAUAAUCUUAACGUUAAAUUAACCAUUUAAUCAAUAACAUUAAAUUAACCAUUUAAUCCAUAAUCUUAACAUUAAAUUAACCAAAACUAGAUAAACAUGCUAGAUAAGCGUUCACAAUGAAUAAUUAUAUAGUUUCAUCUACUUAAUCAGUUUCUCAACUUUUCAGUACUAGGAUCUAACAUAAUAAGUGCUUCAUUUCUAUCAUACUAAAUUAUACUCAUUUAAAUUUCCCAUUUGUAUUGUAUGAGUCAAUCUAUAUUAACUAAAUUAACUGAAAUAAAGUUUAACUAAAUUAACUCAAUAACUCUAACUGAAUAUAACCAGAAAACAUGAAAUCAAGACUAGAGCUCACCAAAUUAAAAUUGGGUAGGAGAAUCGUGAUUGUUACGAGGAGGAGGAAAUUCUUCCUCUCAAAGUCUCACUAGAGUCUCACCGGCCGGUCACCGGACCACCGCUAACGACCACCAUGCACGGUGGCCGAAAAAUCAAGCUCA
rnacentral:lncRNA from 1 species